GCGCCUGUAGCUCAGUUGGAUAGAGCAACGGACUUCUAAUCCGUAGGCCGUAGGUUCGAAUCCUACCAGGCGUA
rnacentral:tRNA from 1 species